rnacentral:miRNA from 1 species
AAAAAGAAGAAGGUCUGAAGCUCC